GAGGUAACUCUUUUUUUACCACAAGAAAAAAGUUAAAAUAAUUAUUGCUGGAGGACUUUCCUCAAUAUUUCACUAAAUUAACAAAAAUGUCAGAUAAAAUAGAGGAAUAUUCUGACAGGAGAUCAUACAGAUCAUCUCAUCAUUACAGACCAGAAUAUUCUCUUUAUGUCGGUGAUCUAUCAAGUGGUGUAGAUGAUGACAUGUUGUACAAUGCAUUUGCUGGUUACAGAAGUUUACGGUCUGCAAAAGUUGUUCUGGAUUCUAAUGGAAAAAGUAAAUGUUAUGGAUUUGUAAGAUUUCUGGAAGAAACUGAUCAACAAAAAGCCUUGAUUGAAAUGCAACACAUGGUAAUUGGUCGCAGGGCAGUUCGAGUUAGUUUAGCAGCACCAAAAAGGAUGGAAGUACCAGGUACUAAUACCCAUUAUAAUCCUCACUAUAAUGGACAAAAUCAAUAUAUGUGGGGAGGAUAUACUGUUAGUUUCAAUUCUAAUCCCAGGCUCAUGGAAUAUUAUGGACAAUAUGAUCCACAGUAUGAAGAUGAUUUAGAGAAACUUGAAGAUCCCCAACUUGAAGUGGAUGUAGAAAAAGAAAAUCGUGAAUUUAUGCUCUCCAGUGAGCAAUUUUUCAAUGCCAUGGAUCAGUCACGAUGGCAUCCUUUGGAUCAUGUGACAUCGCAACUUCGUCCUGGACCAAGUUGAUUUAUAAGGUUGGAUGUGUGGAUUUGUGAUUAAUUGUGACUUUGUAUUUCUUAUGAUCUUCAAAAGUUUAGUUUAUUAAAAAUGAAGCAUUCUCGGAAUGGUUGUUAUGAUGUCAUAUACAACAUGACUGUUGUUUUAUGAAAGAAUGGCAGUACAUCUUUAUUAUCAUUUUGUAUACUAUCUUGGGAUUCAGUAUACUAUCUUGUGAAUCGUAUGCUGAACGUUGUCAAACGGAACAAUUUUCUGUGGUUACUACGAGACUAUGGCGAUAAUAAAAUAUUAUCCUACUAAUGUUUUUAUUUAGCUUCAUUUUAUGUUAUACUAGGGGUUUAUCGGUUCCGCUGUUGCACAGACAGAUUCCUACAAGAAGUAGUAUAACUCUGAAGUGUAAUGCCAUCAGACCUAUGUCAGUCACCAACCUAAGACAGCUCUACUGUGUUCCUCAACACCCAACAGUCACGACAAAUAUAUAUAGAUAUCAGUGUAAAUAAAACUAGUGUGUGUCAAUUUUUGUAUCUAGUAUAUAAAUAUUCUGAUCUGUCAGUGUAACUUAUUACAGCUGAAUGCUGUUCACUUGACAUAUUUGAAAUAUUCAAUAGAAAUUGAUUAAUCCUGGAAAACAGACAUUCUAAAAUAUUCAAAGUCACUUAUUUUAGAUUGAUCAGAGUCAGGUCAACUUGUAAUACUAAAUAAACUAGAUAUCUGUCAAUUUUAUGAAAAUUCUAGCUCAGUGCAGUUCCUGAGGUGUGACAGAUAAUUUUGGAAAAUUUUAAAAUAUAAAAAUUUAAAGUGGCAUUAGGUAAGAUUAGAUAAAGAGCUGACAGUUCUUACUUUAAUAGUUAAAAAAUAGAUAAUGGAACGUGAAUAUACUGAAAAAUUUCAGUCAAAUUACUUCACUCUGAUUGGCAUUACAAUUAUAAUCUAGCCUUGAUUGUCAUUACUACUGUUGUUACGAUAAACAAAGUCUGGAUUAUUUUGGUAGCCUUAUUUGUCUAGAUGCAGUGAUUUGUAACAAACUCUUUAAUUGGUGUGAAUAUUGAACUUUAAAUGCUGUUACCAAUCUGCAUGCAGAUAACUCAUGUGGUACAAUAUGCUUAGGAUAUGCAGAUGUAGUUAGCCUUCUUGAUCUUUCAAGCCUGGUUCUCACUUGGUUAGGGUGGUUGCAGAAACGUAUAACAUUCUGGACUUUGGAAAAUGAAGUGCUCCUGCAUAUUAUAUGUUUAUUAGUAGUGUAAACAAUCUGUUAGCACUAUCUGGGAAAAAAUCCCCCCUCCUGCCCUCCCCAUUUGCAUACAUGAACAUAUUAAAAAGUGAGAGAGAAAUGGGGUUUAACGUCCACUUGACACAAACUAGUUCAUUUCUGGACUAACAUAUUGCAUAAAAACAAAACUGGUAGUUUAAUGAUUUCCAGUUUCAAUGACAUAGUUAGUAAGUACCGUUAGGCAGAUUAUUUUUUGAUUUUCAGGGAAAAGAGUGGAGCUGCUGUGAAGUUGCAUCAGAUUGUUUUUGUAAUAGGAAUAUGUAUUCAGAUAGCAUGUGUUAUUGUUUUUAUUAAAUGUAUGAUAUUGUUUAAUAA